rnacentral:rRNA from 1 species
CAGAGGGUGCGAGCGUUAAUCGGAUUUUACUGGGCGUAAAGCGUGCGUAGGCGGCUUUUUAAGUCGGAUGUGAAAUCCCCGAGCUUAACUUGGGAAUUGCAUUCGAUACUGGGGAAGCUAGAGUAUGGGAGAGGAUGGUAGAAUUCCAGGUGUAGCGGUGAAAUGCGUAGAGAUCUGGAGGAAUACCGAUGGCGAAGGCAGCCAUCUGGCCUAAUACUGACGCUGAGGUACGAAAGCAUGGGGAGCAAACAGGAUU